UACGUAGGGGGCUAGCGUUGUCCGGAAUCAUUGGGCGUAAAGCGCGUGUAGGCGGCCCGGUAAGUCCGCUGUGAAAGUCGGGGGCUCAACCCUCGGAUGCCGGUGGAUACUGUCGGGCUAGAGUGCGGAAGAGGCGAGUGGAAUUCCUGGUGUAGCGGUGAAAUGCGCAGAUAUCGGGAGGAACACCAAUGGCGAAGGCAGCUCGCUGGGACGUGACUGACGCUGAGACGCGAAAGCGUGGGGAGCAAACAGG
rnacentral:rRNA from 1 species